AGCGCACACGGUGGAUGCCUUGGCGGUCAGAGGCGAUGAAGGACGUGGCAGCCUGCGAAAAGUAUCGGGGAGCUGGCAACAAGCUUUGAUCCGGUAAUGUCCGAAUGGGGAAACCCACCCGCUUGCGGGUAUCCUGCAGUGAAUACAUAGCUGCUGGAAGCGAACCUGGUGAACUGAAAUAUCUAAGUAACCAGAGGAAAAGAAAUCAACCGAGAUUCCGUAAGUAGCGACGAGCGAACGCGGACUAGCCCUUAAGCUGAUUUGGUUCUAGGAAAACACUCUGGAAAGAGUGGCCAUAGAAGGUGAUAGCCCUGUAUCUGAAAGGGCCAUUUCAGUGAAGACGAGUAGGGCGGGGCACGUGAAACCCUGUCUGAACAUGGGGGGACCAUCCUCCAAGGCUAAAUACUACUGACCGACCGAUAGUGAACCAGUACCGUGAGGGAAAGGCGAAAAGAACCCCGGAGAGGGGAGUGAAAUAGAACCUGAAACCGUGUGCGUACAAGCAGUAGGAGCUCCGCAAGGAGUGACUGCGUACCUUUUGUAUAAUGGGUCAGCGACUUACUGUUCGUGGCAAGCUUAACCGUAUAGGGGAGGCGAAGGGAAACCGAGUCUGAUAAGGGCGCAUAGUCGCGGGCAGUAGACCCGAAACCGGGUGAUCUAGUCAUGCCCAGGGUGAAGGUGCGGUAACACGCACUGGAGGCCCGAACCCACUCCCGUUGCAAAGGUAGGGGAUGAGGUGUGAUUAGGAGUGAAAAGCUAAUCGAACCCGGAGAUAGCUGGUUCUCCUCGAAAGCUAUUUAGGUAGCGCCUCAUAUGUAUCCUCUCGGGGGUAGAGCACUGUUAUGGCUAGGGGGUCAUCGCGACUUACCAAACCAUUGCAAACUCCGAAUACCGAGACGGACUGUAUGGGAGACACACGGCGGGUGCUAACGUCCGUCGUGAAAAGGGAAACAACCCAGACCCACAGCUAAGGUCCCAAAUUUUGUGCUAAGUGGAAAACCAUGUGGAAAGGCACAGACAGCCAGGAGGUUGGCUUAGAAGCAGCCACCCUUUAAAGAAAGCGUAAUAGCUCACUGGUCGAGUCGGUCUGCGGGGAAGAUUUAACGGGGCUAAGCACAGAACCGAAGCUUGGGGUGCAUACUUCGUAUGCGCGGUAGAGGAGCGUUCCGUAAGCCGUUGAAGGUGGAUUGAGAAGUCCGCUGGAGGUAUCGGAAGUGCGAAUGCUGACAUGAGUAACGAUAAUGCGGGUGAAAAACCCGCACGCCGAAAGCCCAAGGUUUCCUUGCGCAACGUUAAUCGGCGCAGGGUGAGUCGGCCCCUAAGGCGAGGACGAAAGUCGUAGUCGAUGGGAAGCAGGUUAAUAUUCCUGCACCUCGCGUAAGUGCGAUGGAGGGACGGAGAAGGUUAGGUGUACCAGGCGUUGGUUGUCCUGGGGAAAGGCGGUAGGUUUGGAUCUUUGGCAAAUCCGGGAUCCUCUAAGACCGAGCACCGAGACGAGCCUUUAUGGCAAAGUCACUGAUACCACGCUUCCAGGAAAAGCUCCUAAGCUUCAGCUUACGCAGACCGUACCGUAAACCGACACAGGUGGGUAGGAUGAGAAUUCUCAGGCGCUUGAGAGAACUCGGGUGAAGGAACUAGGCAACAUGGCACCGUAACUUCGGGAGAAGGUGCACCCUUUUUGGUGGCUCGUGCGAGCUAUAGCUGAAGAGGGUCGCAGUAACCAGGCCGCUGCGACUGUUUAUCAAAAACACAGCACUCUGCAAACACGAAAGUGGACGUAUAGGGUGUGACGCCUGCCCGGUGCUGGAAGGUUAAUUGAUGGGGUCAGCCGCAAGGCGAAGCUCUUGAUCGAAGCCCCAGUAAACGGCGGCCGUAACUAUAACGGUCCUAAGGUAGCGAAAUUCCUUGUCGGGUAAGUUCCGACCUGCACGAAUGGCGUAA
rnacentral:rRNA from 1 species